CGAGGGCGCCAGACGAUCGCAGGCUUGAUGUCUGAGGAAAGUCCGAGCACCGCAGGGCAGGGUGCCGGUUAACUGCCGGUGGAGGCGACUCCAAGGAAAGUGCAACAGAGAUAUACCGCGAAUUCCCGCAAGGGAACGCAAGGGUGGAAAGGCGAGGUAAGAGCUCACCAGCGGCAUGGCGACUUGUCCGCUCUGUAAACCCCAC
rnacentral:RNase_P_RNA from 1 species